UUGAAAAAUCCUGAGAUGACUUGAGAGUAGGAGCGAAAGACUAAUCAAACCCCGUGAUAGCUGGUUCUCUCCGAAAUCGCUUGAGGGCGAGUGUUGUGGAAGUACUCCUUGGAGGUAGAGCACUGAAUGGCUUAGGGACCCCACCAGGUUACCAAAACCAAUCAAACUCCGAAUACCAUGGAUCUCAGUAUCACAGCAAUCAGGCGGCGGGCGAUAAGGUUCGUCGCCGAGAGGGCAACAGCCCAGACCAUCAGCUAAGGUGCCUAAAUGUGAUUAAGUGGAAAGGAUGUGACGUUGCACAGACAGUGAGGAUGUUGGCUUAGAGGCAGCCAUCAUUUAAACAGUGCGUAAUAGCUGACUCAUCGAGCGAUGUCGCGCCGAAAAUGAUUGGCGAUUAAAUCACAUACCGAAGCUAUGGAUUCAGUUCCGAUUCGUCGGGACUGAGUGGUAGGAGAGCGUAAUCAGCGCUGCGAAGCCGAACGGAAACGGACGGUGGAGCGCUGAUUAGUGAGAAUGCAGACACGAGUAGCGAUAAACCAGGUGAGAAUCCUGGUCGCCGUAAACCCAAGGUUUCCUGGGCCAGGUUCGUCCCCCCAGGGUUAGCCGGGAGCUAAGAUGAGGCCGUAAGGCGUAAUCGAUGCACAGCAGGUUAAAUAUUCCUGCGCCAGCUAGGUUAAGGUUGGAGAUGACGCAUGGGAAGACAUCAACUAGGCAAUCGAAUGCUGAGCUUAGGCUUCGGCCGAAGCGUAUUGGUGGGUUCCUGUGCCGAGAAAAGUUUCCAACUGUUCCCGACGCUGCCCGUACCGUAAACCGACACAGGUGGGUGAGUGUAAGCGCACUCAGGCGCGCGAGAGAGACCUCUCUAAGGAACUCGGCACAUUAGCCUCGUAACUUCGGGAGAAGAGGUGCCCUUCGCAAGAAGGGUCUCAGUAAAUUGCGUUUAGCGACUGUUUAACAAAAACACAGCACUCUGCAAAGUCGUGAAGACGACGUAUAGGGUGUGACACGUGACCAAUGCGGAAAGAUCAAACCAUGAGGUUAGCCGUAAGGCGAAGCUUCGUGGCCAAGUCCCCGUGAAUGUCGGCCGUAACUAUAACGGUCCUAAGGUAGCGAAAUUCCUUGUCGGGUAAGUUCCGACCUGCACGAAUCGUGUAACGACUGAACCGCUGUCUCGGAGAGGAUCUCGGCGAAAUUGUAACUGCGGUGAAGAUGCCGCAUGCCCGCAGUAGGACGGAAAGACCCUAUGCACCUUUACUGUAAGCUGAUAUUGGGUUCUGGUUAAUGAUGCGUAGCGUAGGUGGGAGGCUUCGAAGCGAGGGCUUCGGUUCUCGUGGAGCCGCAAUGUGAAACACCACUCUUUGUUAAUUAGGAUUCUAACCCCAACUCUGUAAGCCAGAUGGGGGACAGUGUCUGCGGGUCAGUUUGACUGGGGCGGUUUCCUCCCAAAUGGUAACGGAGGAGCGCGAAGCUUGGUUCAGUACGGUUGGCAACCGUACGUUGAGGGUAUGGCUAGAAGCCAGGCUAACUGUGAGACCUACAAGUCGAGCAGGUACGAAAGUAGGCCCAAAUGAUCCGACGGUUUAAUGUGGAAUUGCCGUCG
rnacentral:rRNA from 1 species